UUGCGAUGUAGCAUGCCCGUUUGGUGCUUAACUCUGAUGUAUGAUUGUUAUUUAAUUACUUUUGGGUAACGGGGUGUUACAAAUUGCA
rfam:Medicago truncatula strain A17 unplaced genomic scaffold scaffold1752, whole genome shotgun sequence.